GCAGCCAGCAUUGGUUGCGACCUGAUCAGGCUUGUCACUCAGGAGGGGUGCUUGUCACUUUCCACUGUGACACGCUAGGCAGCCAUGCAUAUACAGUCAGUACCUGCUUUAUCCUGAAAACUGAAUGGAUGACAAAUGCCUUUCCCCAGGCUACCUGUUUUGUAUUUAUGUACGUUCAUUGCAGUCUUCAAUUUUUUUGGCUAUAUUACUCAUAGGGAUAAUGAUACUCUCAGAGUUCUGGUGCUUUGAGCAGAAGGUGCAGGAGAAAGAUAGCAUGGAAAGAGAAAGAAAUCACAAUCUCUCUUGGAGCAACUUCUGCAUGAUGAAAAAAGAUAUGAUGGUGGUGAAUUUUAACCUGGUGAGGUGUGCCGGAGGGUUGAUAUGUGCAGUUUGUGGCUUGUGCUGCUGCACUUCCAGUAGGCAGCUGGGAUACUUGGUUGGACUGUUUGUGCACACAGAGAUCUGCAUUGCUCUGUCUUUGCUGGCAAGUGGGUGCUAAAUGAAAAGUUGUCCUGGACAUGCUUACUCAUAUUUGAGGAACAUCUGAUUUGCAAUGUAGAUACCUCCCACUACCUGGGAAAAUUUGCUCUCCUUUCACAUUGCUUAUCUCCAGGAGCAUGCUGGUACUGACUGACUUCUGCUUGGAAGGUGUAUCUCCUGUGAUUGGUAUAACUUGAUAACAAGAGCACAGUCAGAGCUUUCCCAAGGACUCCUUUGGUGCUGUGUGAAAAGUCUUCCAGGUUGUUGGCAGAAGUGCAUUUCUCUUCAUCAAAGAUAGAUAUAGAUGAGGAGUGCUGCUAUUGAUAGUCAUCCAAAACUCUUGAGAAAAAGCUUUGCUCAGUGUUUGUGACUGCCAGUGAAGUCUGUUCUUUAGUUGUAUACUGGAGAAGGAAGCUCUGGUAGCCUGGCUCAGCUAGCAGGCUUUCAAUUCAAGGACCAGUGCAGGCAGUCUGAUUCCUUGUGUUUGAACAUGAUGUGUGCAGGAUGUGGAUCGUAAAACAUUGAGAACAACAGGUGAAUCAUAAGAUCCUUUUGUCUGUUGAGCUUUCUGCACAAGGGAGUCGGUUUCUUAGAGAAUAGAUAGCUAUGCAGAAGGGCAAGGAAAAAUGGAGUACUUGAACCUGCAGAUGGCCUAUGUGAGAAAUGCAUCAAAGCUACCACUAUGAUCCCUAUAAAUAAUAAAUAAAAGGUUGAAUAAAA